rnacentral:rRNA from 32 species
UUGACCUCGGAUCAGGUAGGAAUACCCGCUGAACUUAAGCAUAUCAAUAAG